UACGGAGGGUGCAAACGUUGCUCGGAAUCAUUGGGCGUAAAGCGCACGUAGGCGGUCGAGUAAGUCGGGUGUGAAACCUCCAGGCUCAACCUGGAGACGCCACUCGAUACUGCUGUGACUAGAGUUCGGUAGGGGAUCACGGAAUUCCUGGUGUAGCGGUGAAAUGCGCAGAUAUCAGGAGGAACACCGGUGGCGAAGGCGGUGAUCUGGGCCGACACUGACGCUGUAGAGCGAAAGCGUGGGGAGCGAACAGG
rnacentral:rRNA from 1 species